GAUGAACGCUGGCGGCGUGCCUAAUACAUGCAAGUAGAACGCUGAAGGAAGGAGCUUGCUCUUUCCGGAUGAGUUGCGAACGGGUGAGUAACGCGUAGGUAACCUGCCUGGUAGCGGGGGAUAACUAUUGGAAACGAUAGCUAAUACCGCAUAACAGUAGAUAUUGCAUGAUAUCUGCUUGAAAGGGGCAAUUGGUCCACUACCAGAUGGACCUGCGUUGUAUUAGCUAGUUGGUGAGGUAACGGCUCACCAAGGCGACGAUACAUAGCCGACCUGAGAGGGUGAUCGGCCACACUGGGACUGAGACACGGCCCAGACUCCUACGGGAGGCAGCAGUAGGGAAUCUUCGGCAAUAGACGGAAGUCUGACCGAGCAACGCCGCGUGAGUGAAGAAGGUUUUCGGAUCGUAAAGCUCUGUUGUAAGAGAAGAACGAGUGUGAGAGUGGAAAGUUCACACUGUGACGGUAUCUUACCAGAAAGGGACGGCUAACUACGUG
rnacentral:rRNA from 1 species